UCUCCCUGACCCUCAUUUUCUUCAGGUUACUUGAAUGGGAACAUAUGUGGAUGUCUAUGUCUAGGUGGAAUGGGCACAGGUUGGUAGGGGUGUGUGUUUCCCACUAAUUCACAGGCAUUUUAACCUUUAAGGGAACCUGACGAAUUUCUCAAUUCAAAAUGGUCAGAAGACCAAAUCCUACUAUGAAGCUGUCACAUGUAAACUGUCAUACCUGCCACUUCCUAUCUUGCAGAACAUCAAUCCCUCUGUGUGGAAUUUUGUAAGGUAAGAGUUGUAUUUAUAGUAAACAUGCUUCAUUCAGACCUUUCAUAUUAAUACAGGUUUAUUUGGUUGAUUUACUUCUACAAAAGAAGGAGAAAUUCUUUGCAAAAGGCAGCAUUUUCCUUCUUUUCUAAUUUCCAUUCACCAAAGCCUGCUGAAACUCAUGAUUAACUGUCUGAAAUAGAGGCCCCUCCAGAAAUAAAGAGAUCUCUGCUUUAGAUCUGUUAAAGCCUAUAUCUAAAACAACCCUUUGUAACUUCCUCAGUGUAGAAUGGAAGCCCAGUGUGAAAUACAGUAAAUUAAGCCUUCUGCUGUCAGAGCUGGAAAUAAGAGUAGAGCAGAAUAGUGGCUGGAUUUGAAAUUAUUUCCUUUUUCUUUUUUUUUAUUAGCUUCAUUUACAUCCUGUCUAAGGUCUUCUGAGCAGCUCAAGGUGUCUUAUCUCUGGCUACCAGGGGGUAUUUUGCAGUCAAAGCAGUUAACGUACUUUCUCUCUUUUUAAGACCAUCUUAUCUUAUCAGGCAGAUCUCUUCAGGCUGAGGAGAACCCGUACUUAUCAGUAGCUGUACACUGUAUUGACAGCUCAGUGCUGCUAGGGACAAACGAAAGCUUAGGGUAGAGAAAGAUCAGUUAACCUGUUCCACUCUCAAUUUAGACUAAUCUUUGGUUUGUCUAACUUCAGGAAACACUGUACAUCUUUUCUGUGUUUACUUGGACAACAGCGGUGCACAAUCACACCACCACUUGCUCAAUAUGGUGCACAGGUACAGCCACUGUAAUAAUCCCCAAGGCAGACUGCCUGUUGACUUGUGUGAGCAGUGCUCUGCUGACCUCCAGCAACUCCUGCUCCAGGUGACCUCAGGGGUGGAUGACUGUUCUGAUAGCAACCAAGGGUUGAUGGGAUCGCCCAGAGAAGCAAAAACUGGAUGUUGCACAGACCCACAAUUUGCAAAUCAGCCUUUCCCUAGAGCAAGGGCCAGAAAAGGAAAGUGAUUCCACACAUGGUCUAAAUGGAAGCAGCGAGUCUGAAGGUGAGCAUCCUGCAAGCCUGUUCUUGGAGCAGAAAGGUGAAGCAGCAGUUUAUUUAGACCUGUCCUCCAUAUCCUACCAGGGUGAACUCUACAGCACAACACAGUAACCAAGAGCAGUCAGCCCUGCUAACCAGUUAUCUCCUUGAAAUACAUAAGCCAGCUUUUUCACCACAAAAAAAAACGAUACAAAUGGCAAGAUUCCUCUCGUCCUUUGCUGAUGUCACGAGCAGUGAACCAGGUCUAAAAAGUUGCAACUGCUGCUGCUGAAAAAUCAGUCACCAUAAUUUCAGGAGCAAUUUGGAGGAAUUAAAGCCGUCUAAAACCAGAAGACAAACAAUUCUCUGUAUGGACUCAAUAGCCUGUGUCAUCAACCUGCUCUAGAAAGCGGUAGUCCUUCCUCAGCAGAACCACUGCCACCUUUUCCUCAUAUUCUGAAUGUUUCCAGCCUGAAGACACCCCAAAAGGCACAAGUGUCUGAAGACAGCAGAAUGCUGUGCCACUCCUUGAAGGGAACAUAAUGACAGUGUAUGUUUUGAGCAAGUGCAGAUAUCAUUAACAGCUAACAGAAAGAGCCUUCUCUUCAUUCAGUAAUUGCUGAUGUUCACACAUUUUCAAUUAGCCAUCCAUGUAUCUAAAAAAAAAAAAAGUUUCUUUUUCA